rnacentral:misc_RNA from 1 species
UACUGGAAGCUCAUUGAAUAUCGCGCGUCGCGUCGCGUAUCACGCCGGUGUGCGACAGUCAUUUAUAGCGUUACUAGUUGGUCUUAUAAUAUCUUAAAAAAGGACACAAUUAGUGUAUAUGAGGUAUUUCAUUUCUGUCAUGUAAUAUACUGCAACAUAGUUACAUAACCUCCAAAUUGAACAAGAUACCAAACAUUUAUAUAUUUUAACUUUCGCGAAUCAAUGGAUCACAAUAUGCCAAAAAAACGGUCAUUAAAACGAAAUACAGCGCGAGGAGUACUCUUGAAGAACGGGUCUUCCAGAGAACGUUUGAACAGUGGCAGAAGCGCUGGAACCGAUGUAUUGCUGCACAAGGGGAUUACUUUAAAGAAGAUGGCAACCAGCUUUUAAUCCGAUGAAAAAUUGCGGAGAGUAUUUAAAGAAUUAUUUUUGAUCAGAGAAGUAACAAAAGAACGCUGCGAAGAAAUAAAACUUACCGUUUUGCAGAAAGGAGAUUUAAACAAUACAGAUGGGAAUGAGCCGACAUUUUUAAGUACAUUCCAGUUUCCUUUGCAAAAUAUAGAAGAACUGAAAGUAGUGGAGCAGUAUCUUCAAGAAGCAAAACGUUUUCAAUCAACUGUAAAAGAACUUUCCAAAAUAGGAGGAACUACUCCAUAUGAUUUCGUAAAACGAUAUUUAUCACUUCUUCUCACGAACAAAUUUGCUGAACAAUACAGCUAGCACGGAGCCAAGAAGAAACAAAUAUUUGGAAAACUAUAUCUUGCAAAUGCCUUAAUAGAAAGUGCUCAACUAUGUCAAGCAGCGA